AUUGAACGCUGGCGGCAGGCCUAACACAUGCAAGUCGAGCGGAUGAAGGGAGCUUGCUCCUGGAUUCAGCGGCGGACGGGUGAGUAAUGCCUAGGAAUCUGCCUGGUAGUGGGGGAUAACGUCCGGAAACGGGCGCUAAUACCGCAUACGUCCUGAGGGAGAAAGUGGGGGAUCUUCGGACCUCACGCUAUCAGAUGAGCCUAGGUCGGAUUAGCUAGUUGGUGGGGUAAAGGCCUACCAAGGCGACGAUCCGUAACUGGCCUGAGAGGAUGAUCAGUCACACUGGAACUGAGACACGGUCCAGAGUCCUACGGGAGGCAGCAGUGGGGAAUAUUGGACAAUGGGCGAAAGCCUGAUCCAGCCAUGCCGCGUGUGUGAAGAAGGUCUUCGGAUUGUAAAGCACUUUAAGUUGGGAGGAAGGGCAGUAAGUUAAUACCUUGCUGUUUUGACGUUACCAACAGAAUAAGCACCGGCUAACUUCGUG
rnacentral:rRNA from 1 species